UACGUAGGUGGCAAGCGUUGUCCGGAUUUACUGGCGUAAAGAGCGCGCAGGCGGUCGAUUAAGUCGAGUGUGAAAGCCCCCGGCUCAACUGGGGAGGGUCACUUGAUACUGGUCGACUCGAAGGCAGGAGAGGGAAGUGGAAUUCCCGGUGUAGCGGUGGAAUGCGUAGAGAUCGGGAAGAACAUCAGUGGCGAAGGCGGCCUGCUGGGCUGUGCGACGCUGAGGCGCGACAGCGUGGGGAGCAAACAGGA
rnacentral:rRNA from 1 species